AUUGCCUAAUAUUUACAUAUUUUAUGUUUAAAUUUUCAAUCAAAACUUUCAAGGGUUCGACGUUUCAAAAGUUAUUAUUAUUUUUUCAUUUAUAUAUUAUAUUUGUGUCGUUGUUUUAAUUUAUAAAUAUGAUACCUUCAGUGAAUCAAGAUGACAAUCAUCCAAAUCAUCCCUUGAAUGAAACAUUACUAGAGAUGUUAACCCAACCUAUUGAAUACACCGUUGAGGAUCCUCCUUUCAUGCGUUCAAGCAAGACCACCAUUGUGCGAUUCAUUGUGGCUGGAAAUAUAUAAGUAGUUUGAAGAAAAUUCAUUCGGAAUCGGAAUUUUCCGAAAAAUUUGCCAAGCAAUCAAAGUUCCCUCGAAUCAUCGGAGCAUCGUAUGACGGAUGCAUAAAAAAUCAUCUUAAAUUCGUUUCGUGAUUAUCAAGUUACUAAUUAAACGAUUACACGAACUUACCUGUAAAGAUCAAUCGUAAGUAUAGGAACUAUUACUUACUGUACAUGUCCCAACUCUAAUUACAGACGAUUUUUUUUCGCCUCUGUAUAUGAUAUAAUAAAAAGUGUUUGUUUGAAAAUA